rnacentral:rRNA from 1 species
AUUGAACGCUGGCGGUAGGCCUAACACAUGCAAGUCGAACGGCAGCACAGUAAGAGCUUGCUCUGACGGGUGGCGAGUGGCGGACGGGUGAGGAAUACAUCGGAAUCUACUUUUUCGUGGGGGAUAACGUAGGGAAACUUACGCUAAUACCGCAUACGACCUACGGGUGAAAGCAGGGGAUCUUCGGACCUUGCGCGAUUGAAUGAGCCGAUGUCGGAUUAGCUAGUUGGCGGGGUAAAGGCCCACCAAGGCGACGAUCCGUAGCUGGUCUGAGAGGAUGAUCAGCCACACUGGAACUGAGACACGGUCCAGACUCCUACGGGAGGCAGCAGUGGGGAAUAUUGGACAAUGGGCGCAAGCCUGAUCCAGCCAUACCGCGUGGGUGAAGAAGGCCUUCGGGUUGUAAAGCCCUUUUGUUGGGAAAGAAAAGCAGCAGGUUAAUACCCCGCUGUUCUGACGGUACCCAAAGAAUAAGCACCGGCUAACUUCGUG